GCACAAUAAACAAGAACAAUUUCAAAAGUUUAGCUCCUCAUAAAAUUUGAGAGCAUUUUGAAUCCACUGAGACUAAGACAGCCCACAAACAAUGCAUUUUGUGCUGAAGCAUGUAGCUAUCAGUCAUUACUUGCUGUUAUGGAGAGGAUGGACGGACGUGGAAGCUGUUUGCUUGCUCAGCCCAAGAUCCUCUGGUGCAUCCAAGUUUAUAAAUCGAAAUUUCCUCAGUCAUAGCCUGCUGUUUUUCUCUGAGCAACAAAGCAUUCAAAUAAAGUGGCAAAGCACUGGAAAACUGACAGACAUGAGAUUCAUAAGGGCAAGUUUAAGUGCUCCUCUAAAACCAGUUUGAAAGCAUCAUUAAUCAUGCUGGGCACUCAGCCAGUGUAAGCAGCUAGUUACAAUUGUAUUCUUCAUUUUAGCUGAAAAGGUGAACAUUUCUCAGCAUUCCAUUGCGUGGUUCUUUGCUUGAAAGCACACUUCAGCUGGAAGUCUACCUUAGUAGGAAC
rnacentral:lncRNA from 1 species